rnacentral:rRNA from 1 species
UACGAAGGGGGCUAGCGUUGUUCGGAAUUACUGGGCGUAAAGGGCGCGUAGGCGGUCCCUCAAGUCAGGCGUGAAAGCCCCGGGCUCAACCUGGGAACCGCGCUUGAGACUGAUGGGCUAGAGUUCGGGAGAGGAUGGUGGAAUUCCCAGUGUAGAGGUGAAAUUCGUAGAUAUUGGGAAGAACACCGAUGGCGAAGGCAGCCAUCUGGACCGACACUGACGCUGAGGCGCGAAAGCCAGGGGAGCAAACGGG